UACGUAGGGUGCAAGCGUUAAUCGGAAUUACUGGGCGUAAAGCGUGCGCAGGCGGUUUUGUAAGUCUGUCGUGAAAUCCCCGGGCUUAACCUGGGAAUUGCAUUUGUGACUGCACGGCUAGAGUGUGUCAGAGGGGGGUAGAAUUCCACGUGUAGCAGUGAAAUGCGUAGAUAUGUGGAGGAAUACCGAUGGCGAAGGCAGCCCCCUGGGAUAACACUGACGC
rnacentral:rRNA from 1 species